rnacentral:rRNA from 1 species
GACGAACGCUGGCGGCGUGCUUAACACAUGCAAGUCGAACGGAAAGGCCCUGCUUUUGUGGGGUGCUCGAGUGGCGAACGGGUGAGUAACACGGGAGUAACCUGCCCUUGACUUUGGGAUAACUUCAGGAAACUGGGGCUAAUACCGGAUAGGAGCUCCUGCUGCAUGGUGGGGGUUGGAAAGUUUCGGCGGUUGGGGAUGGACUCGCGGCUUAUCGGCUUGUUGGUGGGGUAGUGGCAUACCAAGGCUUUGACGGGUAGCCGGCCUGAGAGGGUGACCGGCCACAUUGGGACUGAGAUACGGCCCAGACUCCUACGGGAGGCAGCAGUGGGGAAUAUUGCCCAAUGGGCGGAAGCCUGAUGCAGCAACGCCGCGUGCGGGAUGACGGCCUUCGGGUUGUAAACCGCUUUCGCCUGUAACGAAGCGUGAGUGACGGUAAUGGGUAAAGAAGCACCGGCUAACUACGUG